rnacentral:rRNA from 1 species
UAGGGAAUCUUCCGCAAUGGGCGAAAGCCUGACGGAGCAACGCCGCGUGAGUGAUGAAGGUCUUCGGAUCGUAAAACUCUGUUAUUAGGGAAGAACAAAUGUGUAAGUAACUAUGCACGUCUUGACGGUACCUAAUCAGAAAGCCACGGCUAACUACGUGCCAGCAGCCGCGGUAAUACGUAGGUGGCAAGCGUUAUCCGGAAUUAUUGGGCGUAAAGCGCGCGUAGGCCGUUUUUUAAGUCUGAUGUGAAAGCCCACGGCUCAACCGUGGAGGGUCAUUGGAAACUGGAAAACUUGAGUGCAGAAGAGGAAAGUGGAAUUCCAUGUGUAGCGGUGAAAUGUGCAGAGAUAUGGAGGAACACCAGUGGCGAAGGCGACUUUCUGGUCUGUAACUGACGCUGAUGUGCGAAAGCGUGGGGAUCAAACAGG